CCCCUAAGGCGAGGCCGAAAGGCGUAGUCGAUGGGAAACGGGUCAAUAUUCCCGUACCUCACUGUAUUGCGAUGGGGGGACGAAGAAGGCUAGGUGGGCCAGGCGUUGGUUGUCCUGGUGAAAGCCAGUAGGCUGGGAUCUCAGGCAAAUCCGGGAUCCCAAGGCCGAGAGGCGAGACGAAGGCACUACGGUGCCGAAGUCAUCGAUGCCACGCUUCCAGGAAAAGCCUCUAAGCUUCAGAUACAGUGGGACCGUACCCCAAACCGACACAGGUGGUCAGGUAGAGAAUACCCAGGCGCUUGAGAGAACUCGGGUGAAGGAACUAGGCAAAAUGGUGCCGUAACUUCGGGAGAAGGCACGCCGCGUUAGUGUGAAGGCCCUCGCGGCUGGAGCACGAGGNGCUUGAGAGAACUCGGGUGAAGGAACUAGGCAAAAUGGUGCCGUAACUUCGGGAGAAGGCACGCCGGCGUAGUGUGAAGGGCCUCGCGCCUGGAGCACGAACCGGUCGAAGAUACCAGGUGGCUGCAACUGUUUAUUAAAAACACAGCACUCUGCAAACGCGCAAGCGGACGUAUAGGGUGUGACGCCUGCCCGGUGCCGGAAGGUUAAGUGAUGGUGUUAGCCCUCGGGCGAAGCUCUUGAUCGAAGCCCCGGUAAACGGCGGCCGUAACUAUAACGGUCCUAAGGUAGCGAAAUUCCUUGUCGGGUAAGUUCCGACCUGCACGAAUGGCGUAAUGAUGGCCACGCUGUCUCCACCCGAGACUCAGUGAAAUUGAAAUCGCAGUGAAGAUGCUGUGUACCCGCGGCUAGACGGAAAGACCCCGUGAACCUUUACUAUAGCUUCACACUGGACGCUGAUGUUGCUUGUGUAGGAUAGCUGGGAGGCUAGGAACCCCGGACGCCAGUUCGGGCGGAGCCAACCUUGAAAUACCAGCCUGGCAUCAUUGGCGUUCUAACUCAGGUCCGUGAUCCGGAUCGAGGACAGUGUGUGGUGGGUAGUUUGACUGGGGCGGUCUCCUCCCAAAGCGUAACGGAGGAGCACGAAGGUACCCUCAGCACGGUCGGAAAUCGUGCAUUGAGUGCAAGAGCAUAAGGGUGCUUGACUGCGAGACAGACACGUCGAGCAGGUACGAAAGUAGGUUCUAGUGAUCCGGUGGUUCUGUAUGGAAGGGCCAUCGCUCAACGGAUAAAAGGUACUCCGGGGAUAACAGGCUGAUACCGCCCAAGAGUUCACAUCGACGGCGGUGUUUGGCACCUCGAUGUCGGCUCAUCACAUCCUGGGGCUGAAGUCGGUCCCAAGGGUAUGGCUGUUCGCCAUUUAAAGUGGUACGCGAGCUGGGUUUAGAACGUCGUGAGACAGUUCGGUCCCUAUCUGCCGUGGGCGUUGGAUGUUUGAGAAGAGCUGCUCCUAGUACGAGAGGACCGGAGUGGACGCACCUCUGGUGUUCCGGUUGUCACGCCAGUGGCAUUGCCGGGUAGCUACGUGCGGACGGGAUAACCGCUGAAGGCAUCUAAGCGGGAAGCCCCCUUCAAGAUGAGACAUCCCCGAGGCCUCGAGCCUCCUGAAGGGCCCAGCGAGACCAGCUGGUUGA
rnacentral:rRNA from 1 species